UACAGAGGUGGCAAGCGUUGUUCGGAAUUACUGGGCGUAAAGGGCGCGUAGGCGGCCUUCUAAGUCAGACGUGAAAUCCCCCGGCUUAACCUGGGAACUGCGUCUGAUACUGGGAGGCUUGAGUAUGGGAGAGGGAUGCGGAAUUCCAGGUGUAGCGGUGAAAUGCGUAGAUAUCUGGAGGAACACCGGUGGCGAAGGCGGCAUCCUGGACCAACACUGACGCUGAGGAGCGAAAGCCAGGGGAGCAAACGGG
rnacentral:rRNA from 1 species